UGGAGCCCACCCACCCACUCACCUACUCAGUACUGAGGGGUGUGCUGCGCAGCGCUACGAUGCUUUAACAGAGGAGGCAGACGGAAGGCAAAACGAAGUUUUCGUUUCCUUAAAGAAGAAAAUAUGUAGGGAAUGUGUCGUGAGGAUCAAAGAGCCGGAUCAGAUAGUGUGAGACGCUGGAUGCCGACACCGGGAUCCAGGCUGUGUGAGGUACUUUGGAUUCCGUGCUGCCCCCCCACGACCCCCAGAAGACCGACAACCAAGGACCACAGACCAGGUCAAAGAAGUCCCCUGGGUAGACAUUGAACGCUGUCCUCUGCAGAAUCCAAAGCGUUUUUUUCAUGUUCUUUGUGAGGAGUGGGCUGCCGUCCUGACACAAGGUUGACACGCCAGGAUUAAACUCUCCUGCUCACCUGCAAGGCCCUUCAUCACACAAGUCCCGAGUACCUCCUCAACCUGCUGACCCGCUAUGUCCCCGUCCGCAAGCUGAGGUCCUCCGACUCUGGCCUGCUUGUUAUACCCAAGCAAAAGUGCACCACACUUGGAGAACGCUCGUUUAGCUUCAUGGCCCUGACUCUCUGGAACUCUCUCCCAGCUUUGGUGCAUGAUGCUUCCACCGUCGCUCACUUUAAAUCAACUCAAGACCCACCUGUUCUCUCUUGCUUUCCAUGCUCUUUAAGCCUGAUAUCUGCUAUUAGCUGCUGUGUUGCUGCUACUAUUUCAUGUAUUAUGCUACUAUCAUGUAUAAUGCACUUUCCACUGUAUUUAAUGUAUUAUGCAUUGUUUUGUACUCUAUAGCAUGUAUUAUGUAUUUCUCUGUAUUUAAAGUAUUAUGGAUUUUCUUGUUGUUACUGCAUCUUGUAAAGCGCUUUGUGAUGGUGGUCCACUAUGAAAGGCGCUAUAUAAAAUA